UACAAGGGGAAAAAAGUAAAAAUCGUUUCUGCUUGCAGGAAAAACGAUUUUUAUUUUAUUUCCCCGCUCACACAUGAGCAUGUAGUGAUUUUCUUUAGAAAAUCAACGGAAUGCGAAUGUGUGUAGAAUUGCGCAAGUUGCUGCAAGCAACGGAGCAAUUCGA
rnacentral:sRNA from 1 species